GUAGGUGGCAAGCGUUGUCCGGAAUUAUUGGGCGUAAAGCGCGCGCAGGCGGUCCUUUAAGUCUGACGUGAAAGCCCACGGCUCAACCGUGGAGGGUCAUUGGAAACUGGGGGACUUGAGUACAGAAGAGGAAAGCGGAAUUCCAAGUGUAGCGGUGAAAUGCGUAGAGAUUUGGAGGAACACCAGUGGCGAAGGCGGCUUUCUGGUCUGUAACUGACGCUGAGGCGCGAAAGCGUGGGGAGCAAACAGGAUUAGAUACCCUGGUAGUCCACGCCGUAAACGAUGAGUGCUAAGUGUUAGGGGGUUUCCCGCCCCCUUAGUGCUGCAGCUAACGCAUUAAGCACUCCGCCUGGGGAGUACGGCCGCAAGGCUG
rnacentral:rRNA from 1 species